rnacentral:rRNA from 1 species
CAGUCGCCGCGGUAAUACGGAGGGGGCUAGCGUUGUUCGGAAUUACUGGGCGUAAAGCGCACGUAGGCGGCUUUGUAAGUUAGAGGUGAAAGCCCGGAGCUCAACUCCGGAAUUGCCUUUAAGACUGCCGAGCUAGCAGGUGAGAGAGGUAAGUGGAAUUCCGAGUGUAGAGGUGAAAUUCGUAGAUAUUCGGAAGAACACCAGUGGCGAAGGCGGCUUACUGGCUCAUACUGGACGCUGAGGUGCGAAAGCGUGGGGAGCAAACAGGAUUAGAUACCCCUGUAGUCCCUGUCUCUUAUAC